AGCGAGGCUAUAUGCAGGUGGUACCGUAGAUUAGAAUGUAUAGUUAACGUAACUAUGCAUAGAUGAACAGGGAGCCGCAGCAGCGUAAAAGAAGGGUAUUUCACAUGAUUUAAGGGUUGUAAUCCAAUUUGCGAAAGAUUGUCUUCCAAAUAUUCUCAAAUCUGCCUAAAACAAUAUGUGCAUUUACCCACCAGACUUAUUGCGGGUAAAAGGCUUUGAGUGAUGACAUAGUGCACAUAAAAAUAACUUUUGCCACUAAAUUCCCACGUACCAAAUGAAAAAGUUAAAUAGUUUUCCAUCAUUUUCAUCUCCACUGAUGGUUUGGUCUCAAAAACUGUUUUGUUAAAUAACAAAUGUGUCCACUCUGGUCAUGGCAUAUGCACUUGAACCACCCGCUCACAGGCUACCACCCGCUCACAGGCUACCACCCGCUCACAGGCUACCACCCGCUCACAGGCUACCAACCGCUCACAGGCUACCACCCGCUCACAGGCUACCAACCGCUCACAGGCUACCACCCGCUCACAGGCUACCAACCGCUCACAGGCUACCACCCGCUCACAGGCUACCACCCGCUCACAGGC
ensembl:lncRNA